rnacentral:tRNA from 1 species
GACCGUGUAGCUCAUGGGUAAAGAAUCGGAUUCCCAAUCCGAAUGUUCGCGGUUCGAGUCCUGACAGAAUCA